rnacentral:misc_RNA from 1 species
CAUCACAGAAAGAUUUGCCAUAGCUGGUAGCAAAAAAUACUCAUUCAGCAUUUAAAUCAAAGUCUAUGCUGUGAUAAGAUAAAUUGAAAGAUAAGUUUUGAAAGUUUUAAAGUUACAUUGCACAGCCAUCAGAAAAAUACUUCCCACGUGAUACAAAAAAACCAUGUGUCAUGAUUAUAUUCUUCUGAAAGGAAGAGUCAGAAAUUGCGAUCCUGGAGAUUAUCCCAUAGAUAUUCAGCAAGCUUUGGAAGGAUCUAUAGAGUUUUAUGAAGGCUGCUAAUGGCUAGAGAGUUUAAUGACAAGGCUGCAUUUAGUAACCUUGGUAAUGCUUAUGUUUUUCUUUGAGAAUUUGAAAUAGCUGUACAAUAUUACUUGUGAGAAAAUUUCAAGCAUAAAUUUUUAAUCAGAGAUGGUGUUGAAAUCUUCAAGUUGCAUGGCUCAAGUGUUAUUGUGGAUGGAUAUUUUGCAAGUACUCAUUUGCAAUGUUUUACUCAAGUGAAGGUGCAAAAUGUUCCAGAAUCAGAUUAUUUUGCACCCUCACCUCCUCAGUUACAUGUUCAUGGUAAAACAGAGAUUUCUAUUGAGUGGGAUCCUCCUAAAAAUCUUCUUGGCAGAUUAAAUUAUUAUGAACUUAGAAUGGAUAACAUGAUAAUAUAUAGAGGAAUUGACCGCUGUUUUACUGCGCAAGCUUUUCAUCCAACUAAAGUUUAUGGCUUUACAGUUUCAGCUUGGAUGAGUGAGGGUAGAUGCGAAAGUUUACAUAGAACACGUCGAAUCAGCAAACAAUGAAAUUCUUCCAGAUGUUAUUGGCUUUAGUGAAAAAUAGACGAUUUCGGAGUUAGCGUAGCCAUCUUGGAAAAAUAUUCUUGGGGGUGCAAGUUGAACUUUGAACUUUCCGUUUUUAUGCAAAAUGUCAUAUAAAA